CAGACAGUAUGAAAAAAAGAAUGUGUUGUUUGAACGUUACAGCAUGUAAACAUGUUCUAGUAGAAACCCAAAAUACAAGUAUGAACCUGAAAAUGAGCACGAUAUGGGACCUUUAACUUUCCAUAAUCGUCAUGAAUCUGUUUGAUAGAAUGUGUCAAUAUGAUCAUAAAUGUAGUUUUAGAGAUAUUCUGUUAGUUGUUGUGUCUUUCUAGCCAAACAGCUACCAUGGUGCUAACGUAGCAGCUAGGUGGCUCAUGCUAACAAGCUGCGGCCGUGCUCAGCUCGUGAUUGGCUCAGGCGGGUGUGUGGGCCGGACCUCGAUACCGUGGCUUCAACUCCACCCCGAUCACUACUGCUCAGACAAAAUCUCAAGAUGGCAGCUACCGUAUGGGGAUAUUUUGGCUUCACUUCUAUAGAGGAAGAGCGUGGUUUAGGGAAAGA